GGUUUCUGAGGAUGCAGGUUUUUGUCUUUGUGCGUGUAAACGUCACAUCCUGAAACGAGGACUAAGUUCUUACCGGCGUUUAGAAAAACCCGACCUGCAGACUCAGACGAACCUGCACAGCCGAGAGACAAAUCAGCAAAACAAACAUGGCUGCAGCAACACGAGCGUCCCACUUUGAAUCUAAUCGAACUUAUUUUGACCCUCUUCAUAAAAAAGAACGAUUUCAAAGUUUUCCUGCAGACAGACGAUUUUAUCUGAACUCAAAGAACAAGAGGAGACGUGAGCUGCAGAGGUCGAUAUUAUAGUUUAUUUUACAACAAAUCAAGUAAAAGGUAAAAACUGACGUGAGGCUGUGAACUCUGCAGGAGGAGGACUUUAAUUUGGUCUAAAUACUUUCAGUCCCUCCAUCAUUUUAACUUUUUCUGAAGCAAAAACUCAGUAAUCUUCUGCUCUGAAAAUUCAAGUCCUGAUGUUCCCCAAAGUUCUUCAAUCUGAGUUUUUAGUGCAGCUUUAACUUUCUUUUCUGACUCUGUUUCAUAUUAAAAACAGUCUCAGUGCAGGAUCAUGUCACACAAACUUAUUUAAUUUAAGUAACACAAAUGUAACGUAUGCAGAGAAAAAUACUGUUGUGUUUUUAUUCCUUUAUAUUUAUUUCAGCAGAGAAUAUACAGAUGCUGCUGCAGACGCUGAUUUUAGUUGUCCUGAUAUUCUUGUUGAUUAAACAGCGUUUAUAAGAAGCUGAAAUAAUUUGUAAAUUUGCAUUUAAAUCAGUCAGAAAGUAAAGAAAUCCUAAACUAUACUUUGUCCAAUCUGUAGAUGCACUUUUGCUGAAUCUCUGGUUGUUUUUUUAAUCUGUUUCAGACAUAAAAUCAAAUACAGUUUAACUUUUAGAGAUCAUUGACAAUAAUGACUCUCACACUUUGGUCAAAGUUUCUAAGAAUAAGAGUCGUUUUUCUCCGCGGUUCAACCCUUCAUUCAGAAACGAUCACCGUUCCUGCUCUUCGUAUUCCUCACCUCCCCCCUCCUCUCUCAGCCGCCUCGUCUAAUAGAGUCCAAAAAUGCCUGAAAUGUAACUUUAAAAGGUCUCAGUGAUGUGGCCUGAAGGAUUGUGGGAGUUUUGGUGACAGUGUGGUCGAACCUUGAGGAGAAUCUCCACCCUGGUUUAAUGACAGAUCUGGGGAAUCAGCGCACACAUGCUCGGCUUUUUCAAAUAUGAACAUCAUCACCAAAUUGAAGCCAUAUGGAUCUUAGACGAGCGCUUUUAUCAAGAGUGGAAAAACACAUUCGAGUGUCACAUUUAUUACAGAAACUGUGACAUGUGUACAUCCAUUUGAGAUGGUUUUACAGGCUGAUGAGGUCUGCUGUGAUUUUAGGGGAGGAUCAGGAUACUUGAGCCUGAGCUGACCCUGCAGAGCUCCUGUAACCUCGUGUUUACUUCACCUUUGACCUGUUAAAGCCAGAAACACUCAACGCACCACAAAUCAGCAUGCAUGAAGAUCUGAGAGGGUAGAGACUCCAGCUGAUGGUUACCUGAGUUACCCUAAAGUUAUAAUGAUGUAAACAUGGAGGAAACAGGAGCGGACUGAACCACUCGGCUCAAAUUUAGGGGUGAGAGGAAACCAGGAAGAGGCUCAGAGUGAAGGAUGAGGCUCCUUCUGCAGAUAAUUGUACUUAUGACCUGAAAGGAAUUUUAAAACAAUAAAACUUGAGCUUUAUUUUUAAUCUCAGACCUCCUCCUCCUCCUCCUCCUCUUCCUCUUCGUCCUCCUCGGUGGGCUCCUGGGUGGUCAGUCCGUCCUUCCUUCCAGUCGCAGUCAAAACAAGCCGAACAGACAAACGAGGGCCGAUAAAAAGCCAAUAGGAAGAGCUGAAAAUAGCAGAAAUCAGAGUGAAACACAUCAUCAUUAAAACAGAAUUAAAGCGGAAUCAGACAGACGCGCUCUGUGCCGGAUGUAACGCCUCCUGUGAUUGGCCGCUGCUCCGUGACGCUCCUGCUGAAGGUUCGUGUCAGUUAACGGGAUAAUCGCUGCAACUUAAGUGGUCAAGUGGCCUGUUAGAUAUGUGUGCGUGUGUGUGUGUGUGUGUGUGUGUGUGUGUGUGGAUUCCCUCCGUCGCAUGAAAACAAUCUUCAUCUAAUAUUUUUCCACGACAUCAACUAAUGUAAAUGACGAUGGGGGUGUUAGUAUGUAGUCUGUAAUUACACAUCACCCCCUCCCUCCUCUCUCUCUCUCUCUCUCUUCCUCCCUCCUCCUCCUCUUCCUCUUCUUCUUCUUCGUCUCUGAGCUUUAGUGGUUCUUGUGUUCAGGCCUCCUCCUCCUCCUCCUCCCCUUCUUCCUCCUCCUCCUCCUCCUCGGCUCUGCGGCUGCUUCCAGCUCGUCGUGUUUGAAAGACGACUGCUGCACCCUACAGUUUAAACCCCGUCUCUCACUGAGCUGCUCAGACGCUGCUCUGCUUCGCUUUUUCACUCUCAAAUCUCAACGAUUCAGAUUUUUUUAUUUAAUCUGUCAUAAAGAAAGCUUUUGUGCGACGGCAGCAGAGAGAAACAGAGAGAAAUCCUGACCUCCUGAUUAGAUUUAGCUGUUUUUUGGUGCCGUUCUUUGAGUGAAGAAAGGCUCCACUGUUUUUCUGCUGCUUUAAAGUGCUUCCAACUCUUAAAUUAUUUCAGCUCUCGGCCUUCAGUGGAGACUCUAAGUGUCCUGUGAUGGUCUAAAUGAAAUAUCAAAGGCUUCUCCUCUUAAUGAGGAGACAUUUCUGCCAUUAAAUGUGAAGAUUUGGAAAUAUUCUGCCAGAUGAUUAAAUUAAAAAAAAACUCCCCUCGACAUGUGAACUCUUCUCUUCUCACUUCUGCACCUUUAGAGUAAACGUUGGUGAAAUAUAGAAUAAAAACAUCGAUAUAAUUCAUCUGAUUUUACCAAACCAAACAUUAAAAAAACAAAAAUUAUAUUUUUAAAGUUAAUAUUUGUAAUUUUGAAGUAUCUCAAAUUACCCACAGCGUAUAUUUCCAAUAAUGCAUGUUGCACGUGCGCUCUGAUUUAUAUCUCAUCAUUUAAAAUUUAAGCAAAUUUUUGCAUUUGAUUAAAUUUUUCUAGUGAUUUUAUCUUUUUAGGUUUUAAUUUGUAAACCUGGUAAAUUUUAAAAGUGUCAGAAUUUAUAUUUACAGUCAAUAAAUCUGAGUAUCGGCUCUUAAAACGUGUUAAAAUCCGUGAAUUUUGCAAUAUCAGGUUUAUUUAAAUGCAACAUAAUAUUAUAACAACAUUUCCAAACGCAUGAAGCUUUUUUUAAGUUUAAAAAUAAUAACUCCUGUUUCCUGUUUGUGGUUAAUAUUUCGGUGUGAUCUCUGCGAGCAUCAAAAGUCCGAUUUUUGAAUAUCCUGACGCUCUGAGCGACAACAGGAGAAAGACAAUGACUGAGGCGACUUCAUUCAUCAUCAUCAUCUUCGCUGCUGCGGUCUGAUCCGGGCAGUUUAUCAAAAACAUUAUUAUGUAAUCAGAAAUAAUCUGGAGCAUCAGGCAGGAAAAUGUGUCAUAAAUGCUAAUUUACAGUUAAAUAUCAGAUCUGUCAAAUAAGGAAAAAACACCUACAUGUUAUCAGCUUUGAAAAUAUCAAUAUGUCCCAAAUAUAUCCAAACAUGAGUCAGCGCCUACACCAGGAGCGCCUAUUCAUAGACGCCUCACGCUGCAGGGUCGUAACCUUUGACCUUUUCAGCUCAAAAUUUCUCAAAUUCAGAGUAAAACGAAGUCGAACAGGCGAACGUCUCCGUGAAAAAGAGAAAAGGUCCAAAUCAAAGUCCGUCCAGUCCUGACCGUCCUGAGAGCAGCGACUUUAUCCUCCUGUUCAAAAUAUUUGGUGAUUUCUAAAGAAACUUUCUGUGUUUUUUAGUCUGUUUUAUAAUUAUUGUUUGUCACAGUUCGCUCUCGUUUCUUUUAAAAUACAGAUUUAUUAAAAAUAUCGAAUAAAAACAUCAUCUGAGAGACAGCGGAGUUUGGUCGAAUCCUGCUUUUUGGUUAAAGAUGCUGAUAUUCAGCUUUAGGUGCAUCUUUACAUUUAAACUGUUUAUAAAAGACAGAAAAUCUGAUAUUUUUAGUGACAGUUCGAGUUUUUGGAUUUCUUCUGCACCGUUAAAAAUCUACAUAUUAUAAUUUAAUCACAUGUUCCUCACAGACCUGGUCGAUGAUUUUAACUAAUUUUUGUCGAAUUUUAGUCCCAAAAAUCUGCAGAAACUCGUCACCUAAACGGGCGUAAACAUGCAGGUUGAUUAAAGCUGGAGGUCAAAGGUCAGAGAGGAGCGUGAUGUUAACAGUUUAACGGCCGUCAUCAUCGUGAUCAAAACUUUAAACCUGCAGAAAAAAAACCUGCUUUAAUUUUAAAAACAAACGAGAACGACGAGAAGCAAAAAAACAACUUUAACAACAAAUCUGCAUGUUUGUCUGUAACACAAAGAACUGAAAGUGCGUCAUUAUUAUAAUAUCAUAACAUCCAAACAUCUCUGUAAAUCACACACACACGCACACACACACACACACAGAUCUCCACUCGGUUUAAUUCAAAGCCUCUCCAUGAACCAUCUAUUUAAACACAUCUUAAUACAACAUGCUAAUUAGAUCAUUAUCAUAGAAUAUUCAGCCAAUGACAGCAGCAUAUUAGUGCGCCGGAUAAUGACCUGUCAAUAUGCAUAAUAUAGACUCAUAAUUACGACAUAAACUAUCUCUGCAGUGGAGAUUUAAACAUGAUGUUAAGUAUGUAAUGUUAAUCUGAUGGAGUCGUUAUAUUAAUCGGUAUUUUAUGCAAACAAACAAAGUCGAGGCGUCACUCUGCGGUCUGUGUUUUUACUGCAGAGUGUCAUUUAGUUAAAAAAUAAUCUGAUUUAAUUCACAGAAAUGACGAAAAAGUUUCAGAUUUAUAUUCUUAUGAAUGAAGUAUCAAGUUUGGUGUCUUACCCGGAGUGCAGCUCACAGCAGAAGUGAAACGGUGGACUUAAACACUCAGAGAGCAUCGAGCCAAAAUGGAAAGAUGCCACGACGACCGCUGAUACAGAAAACAGACCAAAGAGUCUCGUUUAAGAUCCUCGUUCAGAAAACAAGGAACCAGCUGCUGGAAACAGGUUUUUACAGAAGAUGAGGAAAAUAAAAUACGGCACAAGUAUAGAUGAGGAAAAAUGCAGAAGAAAACUUCGAUUAAUGAUCUGAAUAAUGGGUCUAAAAAAAGAGUUUAAACAAACCAAAGUCCGUCAGAGUUAUCCUGAUAUAUCUCCUCAUUUCAUAAGGAGUUAGAUGAAAAACCUUUGCAGGAGUUUAAUGUAAAAAAGUGAGAUUUCCUGCAGCUCAUGUAAAGUGUUUGAGUCACUCUGAGGUUCAUAACUAAGAAUUUAAGAAUUUCAUGUGUUACAUAUCUGAUGGUUGUUUUUAGGUGACAUUUUGGACCUUUCAGGCUCCUGUUGUGAUUCAGUGCACUAAAAAAAAACUGCAUGUCCACUUUAAGGACCUGUGUCAGAUAUUCAAAAGUAAAGAUGUCAUUUACAGCAUUUUUCCAGCUGCUUCUGUAAAAAUAGGACACGGAUCCAGGAUUUUGCACUUUGGAUUACACGUUGACAUGAAUUAAUAGUGAUAAGUGAGGAUGCACACGCAGAUUGAGAUUAAGAAGCGGCCUCUGAAACCACGGCUCGGGUCAGUAUCUGCAUCUUCCUCCAGAUUAUCUCCAACUCAGAUGUGAUGUAAGGACAGGCUCUGAAUUGUGUCGUGGUUUUACGCCUCGAACAGUUUCCUGAGAUCCGCUGUCAUUGAGUCAGUUUUUCAGUGUUCAGAUUAAGAAGAAUAUCAGAUUGUGCUCAGACGUGGACUUAAUCCAGCCUCAGAUCCUGACACUGCAGCACAAAACAAAUCUACACAAGAGAAGAAGAAGAAGAGGAGGAGGAGGGUGAGUCUUUGAGAUGGAGCGUCUUUGACUUCCUCCUCUGAAACCUGAAGCCGUUUGGAGAGAGACGCAGUAAAUAGAAAACAGCGAUUGUCGUCUCGCUCGCUGUAAUCUGAUUGGGCACGUUCCCUUCGAAUCGAGGGCACCGCCAAAACAAAAGAUCACCAAUCAGAUAGCCGGGGCUCCCACUGAACUUCUUGGCAUGCUAUGAAUGCUUCGCCCUCUCAUGUGCGCUCGUAUCUCGCUGCGAGAUUCCCCGUGUCGCUUUUAUGUGUUAAUCGUCACCGCUCAGUGAGACUAUUGUGCUGUCUGCAUCGCCGGGGGAGGAAACCGCAGAAAAGAGAGGAGAAGAAGAAGGGUGGCGGGGGGAGUUUGAAUGUGAGACUGCCAGCUCCGUUUCACACAGGCUGAGAAUCGCCUCAUCACCCCGCUGACGAAGGUCCAAGAGUGCAAUGUGGAGCGCUGCCACCGCAGACGACGACUCUAAUUGGUGGGAAAGAAAAUGAAGAUUUCAUUUCAGUGUUCAGGCCGGAGCGAAGAAAGCAUCACCUGAACUUUUGUCUGAGUUAAAGAAGAAGAAGACGAAGAGGAGGAGGAGGAGGAGGAGGCAGGUGCUCAGAGACGAAAUCUGAGGGUCAUCGCUGCACUGGGGCCUCAUCGUGACCUUUUAUGAGAGAACUGAGAAUAAAUCUGAGAUUAUAAAAGCAGAAUAAUCUCUACAUGUCACACCUGAGAGUCGCCGUGACCCCUCAGAAACUCCACUUUAGUUUUAUUACUGAAUGAAGAAAAGACUUAGUGGAAAAAAGAUCUGUUCUUAUAUGUUUUCUUCUACUGUAAAUGCAAGCGGGUGAUGGUGCUCAUGGGAAAUGUAGUCAAAAAACCCCCAAAUCAACAUGAAAUCUCCUGAUAGUGCCUUUAAUUUGAAGAAAACAGGUCAGACGUGGUUUGUUAGAUUAAAAAGUGUCACAUUCAUCAUUAAUUAUGAACUUUUGGUUAAGAGUUCAAACUUUAUAUGUUAAAGGUAAAAUUUUUAGUAGUUCAGGAGGGUAGAUACAUGUCAGAUUUAAGCCCCUACCCUUAAAAUCCCCCGUUUAUGGACCUAAUAUCAGGGAUUUAAAUGAUUUACAUUUCCUUGUUUUUAAGGAUUUUAAAACGGUAAAGACGUGGUCAGGGAUUUAGAGGAGAACAGCAGAAAAAGAGCAGAUCUUUAGGGUUUUAGUCAGCCUGUAAAAAUCCUGGAUCCUACAUUUCCCAUCAUGUACUUCUUAUAGGACGUGUUGACUAUAAUCUUACUGUAUAUCCUGAAGUUUUGAGUGUAAACGUAGAUUAUCCAGAGUGACAGCUUCUUAUUGUUUUCAGUCAUUUCUGCAGGAUCCCUGAGACGAGGUGAAUCAGCUGCACAGAAGCAUGAAAUCAGUUCAAUGUAGACCGCUAUAACUCAAACAAAGCCGUUUAUUCUGUUUUUAUCUGAUUAUAGAUAAGACAAAUACUGCAUAAAUCAGAGUAUUUGUGUCUGUUUUUGUAUCAGCAUGUAUCAUAUGGACAAUGACGUGCAGUGACAGAGCCGUAAAUGUGAAAAUAUGACGAGAAGAAGAGAGUUCUCGGCACUUUUCUCCGAGAUGUUUUUGUUUCUGUCUGUAAAGUGAAAUGAAGAUGUCGGAGUUGGAGCCGUGAUUAGAUUAUUUCCACAGUGUGAGACGUUAAUGACGGAGCCUGAAGAGUCCAGGAGGUUAAGAGGAAUUUCAAGAGUGAAGUGGUUUUACUCUCGAGCCGCUUUCAAAGAACAAAAACUGCUCAGAAACAGAAAAACAGCUCUGCUCUGAAUGCUAAUAUCUCAGCUGUGUGUGUGUGUGUGUGUGUGUGUGUGUGUGUGUGUGUGUGUGUGUGUGUGUGUGUGUGUGUGUGUGUGUGUGUGGGUGUGUUAAGCAGAUGCCAUUCUGCUGAUCUCAGUCCACAUCCAUCCGUCUUCAACCCAAAUCUGGAGGAGGGUGGGCGGGUGGGGACGAGCCGUCCUCCCUCCACAGGUCAGCCCACGGCGUCCAAACCGUCUCAUCUCGUCUCACAGGUCGAGCGGCGCCUGACGGGGAACAUCUGCCCGCCAAAAAUUUACAAGCUGCCACAUAAAAAAAAAAAAAAAAAAAGCGACAUCAACAGUGGGUCAGUGUGCGAGCUGCGGUUCGGCGUGGACGACAGUGUCGAGUGUGGAGCGGCCGAGUUCAGCCGAGUUUAACAAGUUUGAUCUGAAUUAAACAGGUUUACAAAUUAAAAUAAUUUUUUUAAAGAUUUAAAAAAAAUCAAUAUUCUAAAAAAAAAGAAAAAAAUAUUCAAAUAUUCAUAGUCAAAAUAUUGAUGAGUGAUGACAGAUGGAUUUUAAUAAAAGAAAAACAAACAUUUUUGAAUAAGUUUCAAAGUUUUUAUUUAUUUUUUAUCCUGCAGGUUUAAAAAAAAAACGUGAUAAAAAUACUGUAAUUUUAGGUGAAUUUCAUAAAAAGUUGCUCCAAAAAAACCCAAUAAAUUUUAUAUCUUUUUCAAAGUUCCGAUUAGUCACAAGUCUAUUGCAAUGAAAACCUUUUUUCCUCAUUGGAUCGACUUUUUAAGAAAAUUCCUGCAGAUUCUUCAACAAAGAGCGAGAAUAAGGUCAAAAUAGAGGGAUAAAACCAUUAAAAAUACAACACUAAGACAGAAACGUCACCUUUUUUAUGAUUUUGCUGCUCAAUACUGACAGAAAAUCAUGAAUAAAGACAGUUGGAGUUAAUAAAGUUUGAGAUUAACGGGAUAAAAUGUAGAAAAAUGUAAAAAGCUUUCAGACAUAAGGAGGAGAGUCUUUUAUUUUGUUGUUAGAGUUCAAAAAUAAUGAAAAGUUUAUGAUAAUUUGGACCUUUCUCUGCUGUUCCUCCUCAUUGACUUUAAAAAUAUAGAUUUUUUCAGACUCUUCAACACUUGAACCUCCAUCCUGCAGAUCUGAUCUGAACCAAACAGACGUUUAUUCCUCCCAAAUCUGCGGUGUGUUUCAGACAUGAGCUCUCAGGGUGCGUUCACAGCAGCUAAACAAAGGCCGGUUCAGGGAGGUUUAAAGGUUGCAGGACUGCGCUGAAGGAGAGCGGCUCGCUACGGCUUCAGACUCGGAGACGGCGGGUUUACGGGAAGGUCAGAGGUCAGGGGGGAAACGUUUGACUCUCCUGUUUGUGAUUCGUUUUAAUGGUCAAACAUAUUCUCUGCUGCUUUAAAGGAAAACACUGAGUCUCAUCUAUCAGACACCGAGGGGGGAGGGCGAGGCGGCGUCGGCGGGGGCGAGGAGGGGAGCCUGCAGAACAGAAGUUCGUUUUUUGCCACGGUACCGAGCGGUUAUUUUAUUGACGUGGGAAGACACGGGAAACGAGCUGCUUUCACUCUUGCAUGUCGAGUCCUUCUGUUGGCGCACGAAUCCAAAACAAUUUCAACAUUUUGAGAAAUACGGGGGCAGCUGGCGUUCCCACAGCCGCGCCGGAAUUAGCCCUUUACGCGCUGCAACCCUAUCUGCUCUGCACCUGGGCGUGCGAGCGAGCGAGGCAGCCCUGCACCUUUGACUCAGACCACUGCUGCAGAGAGAGAGAGAGAGAGAGAGAGUGUGUGAGUGAGUGUGUGUGUGUGAGGGAGAGAGAGAGAAUUUACAGUACGAGAGGAAACUGUGUCUGCGUCGCCUUCCUGCAUGUUUGAAAUUCUCUGUCCAUUAGCUGGAGGUUUAUGGGACUUUCAUAACCCACAGGCUCUUGGAGAUCCUCCUAGAGGUCACAGAUGGAGAUGUGCAUCACUCCUGCAUAAGGAGGAGGAGGAGGAAGAGGAGGAGGUGAUUCAGGAACCUGACAACACCUGUGCACAAAAAAACUCUGCAGAAGUGAUGCACGGGAAAAAUUAAACCUGCAAAAUCAGGACAGAAAAUACAACAAAAAACAGAAAAAAUUUCCUCAUAAUUCUGCAAAAUUAAACCUGCUGCACAGAAGUUUCUUUACUGUAAACACGACCGGAGUAUUUGAUUUAUUUUAAUAAAAGAUCUCACCUCUCUUCGUCGUAACGAUGUGCUGAAAACGAUGAUUUGCAGGUAAAAAUGACAAAAUCAACAAGUUUCAGAAUAAAGAGAUCAUAAAAGUUAAAGUUCAACAGAAACAAACGUGUAAAUAAGGUCAUGAGCAGGCGGUGAUAGUCGGUAUUUUUAGUGAAGUUUAAUAUUAAAUCCUCUAAAAAUGUCAAAUUAAGAGUUUUAAUGGACUUAAUUCAUUUGCAUUAAUUGACACAAAGUUGAAAUUUAACGUAUUUGAGGAAAAUGAACGUUGCUGCUUUAAAACAGGAUGUGAAGUGUAGUAAAUAUUCAAAGAAAGCGAGUGUGAAGCUGCGCUGUGUUUCUGUGGACUCCUCUCUGACUGCAGCUACACUUCCACUCCAUAAAACCUGCAUUAACAAAGUUUAAUUAGCACGACUUCAUUAGUUUGGGUUUUGGUAGAGGGGGUUUGCAUUGUUAAUUUCCUACCUGCCAAAAAAAACAAACCCUCUAUCUGUGGGGAGGUACGUGUGUGUAGGUGUGUGUGUGUGUGAGAGAGAGAGAGAACAGCGGUGAGGAGCGAACAUGUUGUCGCCCGUGUUGAACAUCUGACCUGGCUGGAAACCUGCGGCGAGCGGCACAGCUGAACAGGAGGCCGUCUGGAUGGGAGAGGAAGGGGGGAGGGAGGGCGAGGGGGAGGAGGGGGGGGGCAGGCUUGGCUGUACAUGCUUGGCUCCUCGCCCCGGUCCCAUUGACCAGACAGCUGAACUAGCGAGGGAGGAAGGGAGAGAGGAGAGAGGAGAGGAGGGAGGAGAGGAGGAAGCGUAUGGAGCUCCUGUGUUUUGUACAUGAUUACAGAAUAAUAAUCCGUACUGUUAACGUUUGUUUCACCUCAUUUCUGCUGCGUGAACCGACGUGCCAAAAUCACAACCUGUGUCUUUAAGAGGAUUUGUUUCUUCUCUAAACCUGAACCACAGUUUGACAUAUUUUUGGUCUAUUUUUCAGAAACCGACCAGAGAGUUUGAGAAAAUGAAACAACUGUUUUUGUGAGCGGAGUCUGGAGGGGUUUUGAGGCAAAUCUUAACACCUGGAAUAUCAGAAUAAAUCUGUCUUCUCUGUGCAUUUUUCAGCCUCCAAAUUCUAUGUUUUAUUCUUCUAGUUUUGCACAAACAGGCCCAGGUGACCAACAAACAGCUUAUUGUGAAUUUCAGAGGUGUCAAAGUUUCUCAGGAAGAGUGAUCGGUGUGAUUCUGUGAGAAGAGAAAUGUGAUAGAGCCGACAUCCUCUGUUACACUUCAAUAAUAUUUAAAGAUAAAGAUUUGCUUCUGUGUUAGUUUACUCUCUUGGGGUUUGAGCACCUGUUGUUGUCGUUCAUUUAUCUGAUCCUGUGGGAUUAUUAAAGUUGAGUCAGUGUGCAGCUUCUUCUUCUACUGUUUCUCUGAGUUUACCCCGAGACACUCACUCUUCUUAUGUUGGAAAAUUUACGUUUAUUUCUCCACAAACUUUAACUCAGAGUCAGAAAUGUGCCGCUCUUGUGUAUUUUUUUGCGUACUGCACCUUUACACCCGUGUUGUGUUUCACAGCGUGAGCGCGUGUUCAUGUCGUCUCUUCCUCUCAUCUUUUGCAGCGUCUCCUCUCAGUGUGACUGCCUCUGCUGGGUCCCUGCAGGGGGUUUGCCGCUGGCUCCGCCCACCUCCGUCCAGUUCCAGCCAAUCAGGUGCUAAUGUGCGGGAACAGGAGAGGGCUGCGCUGACAGAUGGCAGGCUGACCUGGAAAACCUGCCCCCUUUUCAGGGUUCAGCAGUCGGCAGAUGACAGG